rnacentral:pre_miRNA from 1 species
AGUAAGCGUAAUUUUGUACUAUCUAUAUUCAUCAUUUGAUCAUCCGUCAUGUUUUCAAAAAAAUUACGAUUAGUAUUUAAUUGUUAUUAGAUGAUAAAAUAUAAAUAGUACUUUAUGUGUGACACUGUUUUAUAAUUUUUUAUAUUUUAUUAAAUAAGACGAACAGUCAAACAAUAGACAUGGAAAUUCACAAAUGCAGUUAUA